CCUACGGGGGGCAGCAGUGAGGAAUAUUGGUCAAUGGACGAGAGUCUGAACGAGCCAAGUAGCGUGAAGGAUGACUGCCCUAUGGGUUGUAAACUUCUUUUAUAUGGGAAUAACGCGCCUUACGUGUAGGGCUUUGCAUGUACCGUAUGAAUAAGGACCGGCUAAUUCCGUGCCAGCAGCCGCGGUAAUACGGAAGGUCCGGGCGUUAUCCGGAUUUAUUGGGUUUAAAGGGAGCGUAGGCCGCAUGUCAAGCGUGCUGUGAAAUGUCCGGGCUCAACCCGGGCCUUGCAGCGCGAACUGGCGUGCUUGAGUCCGCGGAAAGCAGGCGGAAUUCGUCGUGUAGCAGUGAAAUGCUUAGAUAUGACGAAGAACCCCGAUUGCGAAGGCAGCUUGCUGCAGCGGAACUGACGCUGAUGCUCGAAAGCGCGGGUAUCGAACAGGAUUAGAUACCCGGGUAGUC
rnacentral:rRNA from 1 species